rnacentral:rRNA from 1 species
AUUGAACGCUGGCGGCAUGCCUUACACAUGCAAGUCGAACGGCAGCACGGGAGCAAUCCUGGUGGCGAGUGGCGAACGGGUGAGUAAUAUAUCGGAACGUGCCCAGUCGUGGGGAUAACGUAGCGAAAGCUACGCUAAUACCGCAUACGAUCUAUGGAUGAAAGCGGGGGAUCGCAAGACCUCGCGCGAUUGGAGCGGCCGAUAUCAGAUUAGGUAGUUGGUGAGGUAAAGGCUCACCAAGCCGACGAUCUGUAGCUGGUCUGAGAGGACGACCAGCCACACUGGGACUGAGACACGGCCCAGACUCCUACGGGAGGCAGCAGUGGGGAAUUUUUGGACAAUGGGCGCAAGCCUGAUCCAGCAAUGCCGCGUGCAGGAUGAAGGCCUCGGUUGUAACUGCUUUGUUACGGACGAACGGUAGAGGCUCUAAUACAGUUGUCUAAUGACGGUACCGUAA